UAACCACAUCUUUAAAAGGGGCAUGAUCAGUCCAAAAUUUGAGAAACCUGAAAGGCUUCCUGUGUCUAGUUAAACCUUCAGACAAAAAAAUUAAAAUAGGGUUAUAAUUUGACCCUAUUUUGGGAAGAUUCUCUAUCUCUGCAUGAUUGUACCAACAUGUCAUAUCAUUACUAAGAAGGACCCUAUACAAUCUUUCAAAAAUAUAUCCAUCUCCAUCCCUCUAAUUCCACCAUGUAAAAAGACUCCUCUUGAAAUUGAAUAGAUAAGUCACACGAAAAACAAUGAAACUUUCAAAAUCAUUAUAGUCAGGAGGAUUAACAGGAAAGCCCCCUAUUUUUCUAGUGAAUUUAACACCACAUUAAAGUAUCCACCAGUAAGCCGAGGGUUAUUCAUACCUGCUUCCAGAAGAUUUAAUUCCUCCCAUGAAACUUUUCUUUAUUCCACACUACAUUUAGCAUACACCACAUUAAAAAAGAAACUUUGAUUGUGAUCUUGCUACUUUAAUUGUACAAUGAUUUGCUAUUUUGAGUCUUGCACCAUAGUGUAAUCCACAUCUUGAUUAAUAGAAAAUCAACUUUUACUAUUACAAUUAGCAAUAAUUGUAGGCAUCUCAAUCUCAUUAUGUACUCAUUGAUGUGUCUAUAUUGUUGAAAUAGUUCAAGUAAAUCAAUAAAUGUAAAUUUAUGAAACUUGAGUAACAUUUGAACUCUUUGAAAAGCCUUUUGGGACUUCACGGAUCUGAUAUUCCAUAAUGAAUGCCUUCAUUGAUCACUAACUUUUGAUUUGUUCCUCUUUGGUUGCACUUUGAUAGGAUGACUUGAUUCUCCUUGCCCUUUUUUUUCUUUUCCUUGCAGUUUUCAAGAGCCUCGAAGAUAGAUCAACAUUUGUAAUGUUCUCCAUUAUCUCAUCUUCUACCUCUAACUCGAUGAUUCCUUUUUGUUGUGAGUUUGAUUCCUCACCCUAAAUUGCUGUUCUACUGGUGCAAUUACAGGACCACUCAAGUUUUGAUCAGGACAUGAAGUCCCACUUUUUACAACCAUAUCUGUGUGAAUAGCCCCUUCUAACUGUGAUUUUCAAUCUUGUUCAUUGCAUCCACCUCCUCCUCCGUCCAUUUAAUUUGUGGAACGUCUUCCAUCAUGACAACUUCUUUAUGAGGAGCAGUUUCUGAUUGUUGGACCAUUGCCAUUGCAUAAAUGAUUCUCAAUUGUCAAACUAGGGUUAAUUGAAAGGAUUUCAGAAGCUUUUGAGUGUAAAGGUUGAAAGGUUAUCGAAUUAAAAGAAUGAUCAGCCACCGUAGUUGGCUAGCCAAUAGCCAAAACAACCAUCAGUUAAGGUUUGGCCAUAGAGAAAGCGAGAGAAAGUUGUUUCUUUUGACUGCUCUACUUCACAGAGUGUAUCACAAUCUAAUGUCUAUUUAUAGAUCAUUAAUUUUUUUUCCUAAUUUGACCUCUGCUUUCCAUAUGUAUAACCUGGGUGGUGUCUUUCUUUUAACUAGGUUUAUAUUUGGUAAAUUAGAAAAA